rnacentral:rRNA from 1 species
UACGGGGGGGGGUAAGCGUUGUUCGGAAUUACUGGGCGUAAAGGGCUCGUAGGCGGCCAACUAAGUCAGACGUGAAAUCCCUCAGCUUAACUGGGGAACUGCGUCUGAUACUGGAUGGCUUGGAUUUGGGAGAGGAAUGCGGAAUUCCAGGUGUAGCGGUGAAAUGCGUAGAUAUCGGGAGGAAUACCAGUGGCGAAGGCGGCCUUCUGGACGGAUACUGACGCUGAGGCGCGAAAGCCAGGGGAGCAAACGGG